rnacentral:rRNA from 1 species
GGCUACCAUGCAGUCGAACGAUGAAGCCCAGCUUGCUGGGUGGAUUAGUGGCGAACGGGUGAGUAACACGUGAGUAACCUGCCCUUGACUCUGGGAUAAGCCUGGGAAACUGGGUCUAAUACCGGAUAGGAACGUCCACCGCAUGGUGGGUGUUGGAAAGAUUUAUCGGUCAUGGAUGGACUCGCGGCCUAUCAGCUUGUUGGUGAGGUAAUGGCUCACCAAGGCGACGACGGGUAGCCGGCCUGAGAGGGUGACCGGCCACACUGGGACUGAGACACGGCCCAGACUCCUACGGGAGGCAGCAGUGGGGAAUAUUGCACAAUGGGCGAAAGCCUGAUGCAGCGACGCCGCGUGAGGGAUGACGGCCUUCGGGUUGUAAACCUCUUUCAGUAGGGAAGAAGCGAAAGUGACGGUACCUGCAGAAGAAGCACCGGCUAACUACGUGCCAGCAGCCGCGGUAAUACGUAGGGUGCGAGCGUUAUCCGGAAUUAUUGGGCGUAAAGAGCUCGUAGGCGGUUUGUCGCGUCUGUCGUGAAAGUCCGGGGCUUAACCCCGGAUCUGCGGUGGGUACGGGCAGACUAGAGUGCAGUAGGGGAGACUGGAAUUCCUGGUGUAGCGGUGGAAUGCGCAGAUAUCAGGAGGAACACCGAUGGCGAAGGCAGGUCUCUGGGCUGUAACUGACGCUGAGGAGCGAAAGCAUGGGGAGCGAACAGGAUUAGAUACCCUGGUAGUCCAUGCCGUAAACGUUGGGCACUAGGUGUGGGGACCAUUCCACGGUUUCCGCGCCGCAGCUAACGCAUUAAGUGCCCCGCCUGGGGAGUACGGCCGCAAGGCUAAAACUCAAAGGAAUUGACGGGGGCCCGCACAAGCGGCGGAGCAUGCGGAUUAAUUCGAUGCAACGCGAAGAACCUUACCAAGGCUUGACAUGUUCUCGAUCGCCGUAGAGAUACGGUUUCCCCUUUGGGGCGGGAUCACAGGUGGUGCAUGGUUGUCGUCAGCUCGUGUCGUGAGAUGUUGGGUUAAGUCCCGCAACGAGCGCAACCCUCGUUCCAUGUUGCCAGCACGUAAUGGUGGGGACUCAUGGGAAACUGCCGGGGUCAACUCGGAAGAAGGUGGGGACGACUUCAAAUCAUCAUGCCCCUUAUGUCUUGGGCUUCACGCAUGCUACAAUGGCCGGUACAAUGGGUUGCGAUACUGUGAGGUGGA